rnacentral:lncRNA from 1 species
GUUUGUUAUAGAACUUUCUUUGUUGUACUUAUUUGUAUUUUAUAAAUUAUCAGUAAAUUGUAUAUAUAUAUAUUAAUAUAAGUGUAUAAAUAUGGUCUUUAUGAUCAAAACUGUUAAGGCUUCAUCAGUGAAAAUUGUAUAUAGCUUUUUAUAUAAUAGGGAAACAUAUGUGUGUGUUAUUUUGAAAUGGUAACAAGAGCACAUAGGAUAAUAUUUCAAGGGAGAGGGUUGAAAGAAAAGACAGUGCCAUACCCCAUAAUGUAGUGGGACCAUAUCACAUUCCUGUUGAAAAUUAUUUUUUAUAUUGCAAGUUGUUUAUUGAAUUAUAUGCAAAUCAUAUAUUCUGGAAUCUUUGUGUUCUGUAUAAAAUUUGUAAAUGGUAAGAAUUUUAUUUUCUUUCUAAAUUAAGGAAAUACUGAAAAAUUAAUUGCCUUUUGCCAACUGCUGUAUUUGUUUUAUUUGUUUUUCAUUUAGUUAUAUAUCAACAAUUGUAUUCAACAAUCAAUGAUACAUGUAUAAAUAGUGCUGCUGUCCACUUUAAUUUGACAUCAAUUCCCACUUUUUUUUUUUGUGAUUUUUCUCACCAAUCACAAAAACUGUUGACAUGUACUCUUUUAUUGUUUCAACAUGAUAUAUAUAUCAGUAAAAAAAAAAUAAUUUGAAGAGUAGAUCAUCAUUACAUUAUCUUCUACAGUGAAUGAUAAAAAUGGCUUUAUUGGGGAGAAUUUGCUAAAUACAGUAGAAAUGAAAUCAGUAACUUGAACAGGUUUGAAAGUGAUUAAUGACUUUAAAACAUUGGUUUUCCAGGGAGAUAAAAGCAGCUAAAGGUUUUAAUCACAUAUUAUUAAGAAAAUAUAAAGCUUCUCAAUGAUCAAAAUCAGUGUUGGUCAGACUGCUGCAUAACCCAAUGAAUUUUUUUCUGAGAAAGUGUGUGGUUCAAGUUUUAUUGAAAUUUUUAUAUUUUUUUUCAAAUGGUCGAAGUAAAUAUUUUGUCAAAAUUUUAUAAAUGUAAUAAUAACGAGCCAAAUUAAUUUUAGUUACGUUUUUGGAAACACUUUAAAAUGUAUGUAAAUAUAAAGUGCAUUUCUUGACUUGAAAGAAAGUUUAUAAAUUAUAUUUAUAUUUUGAGCUGGAUGAUAGGUUA